UUUUUUUUUUUGAAACUCAAAAUAUCAUCCUGUGUUUUAACGCAUUUUUAUUUUAGUGGCAUAUAAUUUAAAAUGUAUCAAUUUAGUACUCUGUUAGAUUUAAAGUAAAUUAAUGAUUUUUAUAUUUUCAAGACACUCCAAUUCGUCCGAGGAGUCACCAUUUGCAGCAGUUCUAAGUUCGACGAACUAAACGACUGAACGUAACGUCCUUUAGAAAAUCAAGUCCCAGUAGAAAUUACAUUAUAAGAAGCCGCAAACUUAAGAUGAAAAGGUUUACAUAUAAUAAAAUCACGGGCUUUAAAAAUCCUAUUUCUCAUAAAUAGGAUUAAUUAAGAUUAUCCAGUGCCUCCACGGUAUAUAAUUUGAGUCAGAUUACUAUGCUAUUAAUAGCACCAAAUAUUUGAUGCUGCCAAAUUUUUCGCCGUUUGAUCUGCCUUUUGACCAUCUUCAUCCGUUAGAUCAGGCUAUUCAACCAACUACUCUCUCAACCCCGAAGGACCGCUAUCAUUCUAAUUCAAACGAGCAGAAUAACACUCAAGUUUGGCUUGAAAUGAAUUUUGAGUUUUUUUUUUUUGUUUAAGCUCUGCUCAUUUAAUUUCGAGUCAAACUCGAGCGAGCUGAAUAUCGAGCCAAACGCGAGCCGGCUCGCUCAUUUGC
rnacentral:lncRNA from 1 species